GUAACCGAUCAAUUAUUCGAAAUGUUAAAGGACCUGUCCGAGAGGGAGACAUCUUAACUCUCUUAGAAUCUGAAAGAGAAGCUAGAAGAUUACGAUGAGGGCUCCGGUCAAGUUUAUUUUAUUUGGAGAAUGGAAAUAAAUUUGUGAUUGGAAGCUAAA
rnacentral:lncRNA from 1 species